rnacentral:rRNA from 1 species
GACGGAGGGUGCAAGCGUUGUUCGGAUUUACUGGGCGUAAAGGGCGCGUAGGCGGCGGGUCAAGUCGAGUGUGAAAGCCCCGGGCUCAACCUGGGAGGUGCGCUCGAGACUGGUCUGCUAGAGUUCGGGAGAGGAGCGUGGAAUUCCCAGUGUAGAGGUGAAAUUCGUAGAUAUUGGGAAGAACACCGGUGGCGAAGGCGGCGCUCUGGACCGAGACUGACGCUGAGGCGCGAAAGCGUGGGGAGCAAACAGG